rnacentral:rRNA from 1 species
ACGGAGGAUGCGAGCGUUAUCCGGAUUUAUUGGGUUUAAAGGGAGCGCAGACGGGACUUUAAGUCAGCUGUGAAAUUUUCCGGCUCAACCGGGAAACUGCAGUUGAUACUGGCGUCCUUGAGUACGGUCGAGGCAGGCGGAAUUCGUGGUGUAGCGGUGAAAUGCUUAGAUAUCACGAAGAACCCCGAUUGCGAAGGCAGCCUGCCAGACCGCAACUGACGUUCAUGCUCGAAAGUGCGGGUAUCAAACAG